ACCAGCACGUUAUGUGGGCGACUCUAAGGAGACUGCCGGUGACAAACCGGAGGAAGGUGGGGAUGACGUCAAGUCAUCAUGGCCCUUACGGCCUGGGCUACACACGUGCUACAAUGGUCGGUACAAAAGGUUGCCAAGCCGCGAGGUGGAGCUAAUCCCAUAAAACCGAUCGUAGUCCGGAUCGCAGUCUGCAACUCGACUGCGUGAAGUCGGAAUCGCUAGUAAUCGUGAAUCAGAAUGUCACGGUGAAUACGUUCCCGGGCCUU
rnacentral:rRNA from 1 species